GAACUGCUGCUGGAUCAUUACUCACCGUGAU
rnacentral:rRNA from 1 species